rfam:Schistosoma rodhaini strain Burundi genome assembly, scaffold: SROB_scaffold0000536
ACCUUUCUGAAUCCGUGCAGAGAUUUCGUUGGAUACUAACCCAUCAGGGUUGAUCAGAUUUCCAAGAUAAAUGAAGUG